GUUGAAGUACAAACUAUCAAGGUAUAUAUAGAAAACGCCUCCACCCACGAAACAAUAUCAACAAUCUCUUUCCGCGGUUUUUUAUCAUGCCUGUUAAAACUAGGCGACCAUCUAAAAGCAGAUGGGGCUCGUUGGACUCGUCGACGGCGUGGGAAUUAUCCGGGAGAAGAUCAGCCAGAUUUAUAUACUUCCCUGUAGUAAUAGCACCGACAGUUUUUGCAGGUAUUGGGGCAUAACCUGGGCCAACAAUAAAUGAUGAGAAACCACUCGAUUGUGGUAACGAGAUCCCACUACUAGCGUUAGGGUUGCAAUAAUACGGCACACUACCCGUGGCUAGCGCAAGGGAGGGAGAACUGGAACUGUUACCCGACCAAACCAAUGAAGUAGAUGGCGUGGCAAACGUAUUAAUAAAAGAAGGAACGAGCCUACCUCUGGCG
rnacentral:lncRNA from 1 species